CAAUCCCCUAAUUUAGGGGAGACUGACUCAUCGUUUCUAAACGCUCAGACUUGCUGGUACAGUCGUUGCUUAUUGAGGCACUAAUGUUCGGCUCCUUGUUGUAGGGAAGAGAGGGAGCGGUGGCCUGACUAAGGACCUCAGCAUCUUAACCCUAUUUUUCUGCUGUCAUCAGCUUAGUGUCUGAAUGACUGAGUGGGGUUUCCAGGAGAGCGCAUAGGCAGCUAUUUACCAAUCUCUCCAGUGGGAGCCAGGCACCAAAAUGCUUCUGAGGAGUGGAGAUGAUAUCGUAGACUGCCUAUUUCGAAUCGACCCUGCCCCUCUGUUUCAGGCAGACUUCAGAGGGCAGUUGCUCAUUUUCUGAAGAUACUCCUCUUGCCUCAGAACCACAGUAGGUGUUGCACUCACUGCCUCCUUUCACACCUGUUUUCUGAUUCCUGCCAUCUUUUUCUUGCAACUGCUGCACCUAGUGAGCUGAAACAGCACUGAUAUUAAAGAUACAAAACAUGCUCUGCAAUGCGCCCACUGAUCUCACCUCUGUGGACAAAUGUUUUAGGUAAUCCUGGCACUGGAAGCUGGAAAAAUACAGGAGAAGCCAGGUAAGCCAGAACACUCCCAGAAUGCUCCCUGCCCACUACAGAGGUGUUGUGGAGCUGAUGGUGGAGAGCACACAGCUGUGCAUCUACCAGAUCUUUCCUUUUGAUCAAGCCCACAGGGCAAACAUUGCCUUCUUGCACAUGCAGAUAAAGGAGAAAAAAAGCACAUAAACCCAUUAUAAGAUGAUCAGGAGUCACCUCUUUAAUUUAAGAGUUUCAGUUUUUAUUUAAAGAAAGGUAAGUUUUAUCCUUAAUGGCUCUUGGGAAAAAAAUGGCCAAUGA